rnacentral:rRNA from 1 species
CCGACUAGCCUGGCCCUAGCGAAUGCCUCUACGACUUAAGUUUGACUCACUGGCUCACGAGCGAACGCUGUNAGGUAGGCCUAACACAUGCAACGUCGAACGGCAGCACAGGACGAGCUUGCUCUCUGGGUGGCGAGUGGCGGACGCGGAUGAGCGAAUACAUCGGAAUCUACUCUGUCGUAGGGGGAUAACGCUACGCGGAAACUUACGCUAAUACCGCAUACGACCUACGGGUGAAAGCACGGGGACCCUUCGGGCCUUGCGCGAUUGAAUGAGCCGAUGUCGUGAUUAAGCUACGCUUGGCGGGGUAAAGGCCCACCAAGGCCGACGAUCCGUAGCUGGUCUGAGAGGAUGAUCAGCCACCACUGGCAACUGACGACACGGUCCAGACUCCUACGGGACGCGCAGCACGCUGGCGGAAUAUUGGACCAAUGGGCGCAAGCCUGAUCCAGCCAUACCGCGUGGGUGAAGAAGCGCCUUCGCGGUUGUACAACGCCCUUUAUGUUGGGAAACGCAAAAUCCCAGUCUGGCUACAUACCCCGAGUUCGGGCAUGACGGUACCCAAAGAAUAAAGACACCGGCUAAACUUCGUUGCCAGNCAGGACGANNGUAAUACGAACAGGUGCACACGCGUUACUCGGAAUUCAUGGGCCGUUACAACCAGCCAGGUGCGAUUAAGGUUCGGNUCCACGGAUAUUUAAGUUCCCNNGUUUUGUNAAAAAAAGCCCAUGUGGCGUCUCCCAACCCCUUGNGGAAACCAUGGAANGUNGGGAAUACCUUGGCGGCGGAAUUACAACAUGGUUGGGUAACGAACGAGGGUUUAACGAGGAAAUUCAUNGGGUUGNUUUCACAGUUANAAAUUGNGUUUGCAGAAUCACAGNCAGAGACAAUUUCCANAGGGGAAACGNCGACUUACCCGAGGGCAACUUUGACACNGA